GAGUAAUGCGUGACCAACCUGCCCCAUGCUCCAGAAUAGCUCUUGGAAACGGGUGGUAAUGCUGGAUGCUCCAACUUGACGCAUGUCUUGUUGGGAAAGUGUUUAGUGGCAUGGGAUGGGGUCGCGUCCUAUCAGCUUGUAGGCGGGGUAAUGGCCCACCUAGGCUUCGACGGGUAGCCGGCCUGAGAGGGCGGACGGCCACAUUGGGAUUGAGAUACGGCCCAGACUCCUACGGGAGGCAGCAGGC
rnacentral:rRNA from 1 species